rnacentral:rRNA from 1 species
CUUGCACCUGAUGGCGAGUGGCGAACGGGUGAGUAAUGCAUCGGAACGUGCCCAGUCGUGGGGGAUAACGCAGCGAAAGCUGUGCUAAUACCGCAUACGAUCUAUGGAUGAAAGCGGGGGACCUUCGGGCCUCGCGCGAUUGGAGCGGCCGAUGUUAGAUUAGGUAGUUGGUGGGGUAAAGGCUCACCAAGCCGACGAUCUAUAGCUGGUCUGAGAGGACGACCAGCCACACUGGGACUGAGAUACGGCCCAGACUCC